AGUAAGAUAUAUAAGAUAUAUAAGAUAAUAUAAUACUUAUAAGUAUAUAAGAUAUACUUAUAAAGUAUAAAGAUAUACUUAUAUCUUUAUAAGUAUAUAAAGUAUAUAUACUUUGCUGAUUAUAUUAUGGGGUCUUUGAUCAUUUGGGCUAUCAGCUUUGCCUCACCUGUUAUCACUUAGAAAAAGCUCCACAUGAAAGUUGAGUCAUAGUUAAGUGAAAAAUUUUUUUUGCUUUAUCUUCUUUUAGUUAAUACAGUAAAUUAUUCUGUUAUACUGAGCUGUCUCCCACCCUUUAGAAAAUACAUGCCUUGAUUUCUUUAAAAACCAUACAUUUAUUAGAAAUGUAAAAGAAAUUUUUUUCUGAUGAACAUGUGCUUAUCAGUUUUAAAUGUUACAGAAUCUGGUUAAAUGUUAAAAUAUCCCCAUUUUCCCCCCUUAUUUUCCAAUUGUCAUUUUUUAUUUGAUUGAUAGAGCACAUAAUAUAAAGUUGGAUUUUUCAAUAAUAUUUAAAUACGUUCUGAAAUUAAACUCCAACUAUUUUCUAUCAAGUUUGAAGAUUUGAUAUCUCUCCUCAUAAUUAUUUGUUAUGCAUUUGGCAUAAAUUAUUUAACUUCUUCCUGUUUCAUUAUAUCUUUUUCAUUUCAUCAGUUCCCAAUAGUAGGAUUUUAUGGUUCCAAACAAAUGUGUCCUUUGGCUUCAGUAAUCGAAAAAUGUCAGUUAAAAUGGGGAAUCUGAUACACAUGAGUUUACCUUUUAGUUCUGUUCAUUUCAGUUUUUUAAAAAAGCAGUUCUACCAUUAACAUUAGCCUUAACUUCCUUUAAUAUUAUGGAAAAGAACACAUCCCAAGGGUGUUUGUAUAAUUUAAUACACAUUAUUCCUGUGAGGCUGAGUAAAACUGUUCCAGGAAUCAAAGUCUUAGCAGUAGAACCUGUUCAGUCACUUAACUGUCUGUCUUGGGACUAACCAGGUACAAUUAUAACUGGCUUAAAAGUUCUGACCUUUUCCUUCCUUAUUUCAACAUGAUUCUUUAAAGACUGUUAAGCUAUGUGUUUAGUAUUUGUCCUACUGUCUAAGAAUAGUUAAAAACAGGGUUUGGGCUAUUUGUUUUGUUUUUUAAAAGUAGUUUGAGAAAGUUUCUUUGCUACUUGUUCUUCAUGCAAGUUUUAUAGGAGUUAAAAUUCCCUGGGAAAAUAAGGGUCUUUGCAGGGUUUCUUUGAUUGAAAAAGUAUAAAAGGUCGCUAAAGGUAUACAGUUGUCUUAAUUUUGACAUAAAUUUUCCUUAUACUGUAGGUUAUCUCUGAAAAUUUUUGUUUUGGGUAUCCUGUUUAUAUUUAAUAAUUGUUAUUUAAACUUACGUAGUAAUAUAGUCAGUAGCACAAAAAGAUUCCAUGUUGACCAGAAUACUGGGUUAUUUUCAAGUAAAGGUAUGAAUAUGAAUGAGAAACAGAGUUUGGGAACUGGGUACUGGCAAAUCCUUACUUUUCAGAUAACUUUUUUUUUUUAAGUUAACAGUAACUCCUUUAUAAAAAAUAUUUAUUUAUUAAUUCGUUAUUUAUUUAUUUAUUUUGGCCACACCGGGUCUUAGUUGUGGCAUGCGGACUUCUUAGUUGUGACGUGCAGACUCUUAGUUGCGACCCGCAUGUGGGAUCUAGUUCCCUGACCAGAGAUCGAACUCGGGCCCCCUGCAUUGGGAGCGCAGAGUCUCACCCACUGGACAACCAGGGAAGUCCCUUCAGAUAACUUUCUAAAUGUGUGGUCAUUCAUUCUGUAAUAUUUAGAGUAAACGUGAAGAGUAUAUAAAAAUAUUCUCUUCACAUUCACAUACCACGGCCUGCCUUUUUCUUACACUCUGAAUUAUUAACAGUGGUGAUCCUUCCAAGCUCUUGUUGUGUUUUUACACACAUAUACGUUGGUGAUAUGGGUGGGAUUUAUAAUACCUUGAAAUCAUACUGUAUAUAUAUAAUACUUUUUUUCAUGCAUUGGAGAACUUUCCAUAUCUAUGCAUCACAUGUUUUUUUUUAGUUCCAUAUAUAGAUAUACCAUAAUGUACUUUUCCCUAUUGGUGGAACCAUAGGUUGCUCCAGUAUUUCACUGUUUUAGGCAGUCUUGCAAAAUACAUAUUCAUAUUUUGUGUGAUUAUUUCUACAAAACCAUUUGUAAAGGUAUAAUUGCUGUGUCAAGGAACAUGUCUAUUUAAAAUACUUACAGAUACUGCAAAAUUAUUCUCCAAGGAAUCUGUGCCAGUUUAUACUUUCGCUAGCCAUGUAAGAGAGUGCCUGUUUCCUCACAUCCUUGCCCCAAAACAUUACCAUUCUUGUUCAUUUUUGCUGAUCUGUUGGUUGCAAAGAAGUAUCUGUUUUUAUUUUCAUUCCCUUGUCUAAGAGUGAAGCUAAUAUCUUCACAUUUUCAUUGGUUUUCUUUCUUUCAUUUUUAUUUUUUUGAUUGUAUGUUCAUGUCCUUUGCCCAUAUUUCUUUUGGUUUGUUAAUUUGUUCUUAUUGUUUUUUAGGAACUAUGUAUUUUAGAUUUUUUUUCUUUCUAAGUUAUUAAAUGUGUUGCAGAUACUUCCUCCUAAUCUGUCAUAUGUUUUUUAAAACUUUAUUUUAAAUCAUUAUGUAAUUUUUGGUAACUUCUGGGUUUUGUUGUCUUAGGAAGGCCCAUUCCACACUCAGUGUUAUAAAUACAUUAUGCUGGGGACUUCCCUGGUGGUGCAGUGGAUAAGGCUCUGUGCUCCCCAUGCAGGGGCCCAGGUUCGAUCCCUGGUCAGGGAACUAGAUCCCACAUGCAUGCUGCAGCUAAGAAGCCCGUGUGCCACAACUAGGAAGCUGGCGAGCCACAACUAAGGAACCCUGGAACCGCAAUUAAGGAGCCCUCAUCAUUUCAAAUUUUAUUUUUAGUUACCCAAAGAUUUCUUUUAAGACAUUUAUUCUGAUCAAUUUUUUUAAAUCAUAAAACUCAUAUAAAAAGGAAAGUCUGUUCUAUCAGUUCUUCAUCUUCGCAUUAACAGUCCUUAGACCUUGGGUGUUCCCCUGAGUUUGUCACUCAUUUUAAUACAUCUGUCAUUAUUACUGUCUGAGUAUUCAUAAAUACCACCGUGUAUAUGGAACACCUGUUACGGUACAGGUACUUAUUACUUUUGUAAUGUUCUCAUCUAACCCUUGCAGCAGCCCUUUAGGUUUAGGGUAAGUGUUAUUAGUAUACUUUACAGUUCAGGAAACUGGGGCUCAGGAAAGUUAAGUUGCUUAUAAUCACAGAGCAGUUAAAGUGAUGGAGAUCCCUGACCUCAGAGCAAGUGUCCUGAGUACCACAAGUGGUUCAUAUACGCAGGCUGUGGGUCUCAGGCAUUUGUGGAGAUUAAAGAAAUAAAUGCAUGGGAGAGGUCUACCCUCAAAUAUACAGUCAAUCUAGAAAGGAACAUCUAUAAUUUUUUAAAGGCGUGUGAUUAAAUGUGUGAUUCUAAUUUUCAUACCUUUCAGAACCAGUGUAUGCUGUGCUACCAAAUAAAUGCUCACUUUUGUCAUUUUCUUAUUAAUAAGUUUGCUGAUAUUCUUUGACUCCUCUCAAUUUUCAUAUUGUUAUUAUUGUAGAAUCAAUAGAAUUUAUAAUUGGGUCUUCACUUUAAGGUGGGAAAUAAACGCAGUAGUACCGAGAAUGUUGCAUAUCCAUUCUCUCCAUCUGUAUGUUGAACCUAAACCACAACAGGUUUACUGUGCUCAUGCGCACUGGCCAUGAGCAGAGUCAUCUACAUUAGAAUUCCAGUCAGUCUUUGUUUUUUUUUUCCGAAGUCUUAAUAGUCAUCCACCUUGAACCUUUAAAGUAUAUUUUUAAAACUGCACAUAUAAUAAGAAUGAUACAGUUUUAUUAUGACCCUAAGGAAGUUAUUUCAGCUUUUUGUUUCCACACAAGCAUUUAAAGUUUUCGUUUCAAACUAAACAAUGAAAAGUUUGUACUGUUUACUUAUGUUUAAAAAAAUGAUUGAACAGAUCCCAGGCAGCUCAGACAGGGCAGGUAGAAAGAAGGCUCCGAGGGCUGACAUUAGGAAAACUAAUCCAAGUGCUUAGAAAACUUGAUGUAGCCAUGCCAUACAGGAAUGUGUACUGUACAGUUGUAGGUAGAGCUGUGGGUAGACCAGAGUACAAGUCUUUUCUGAAGUUUUCAGGAUAUCUGGGAUUUGAAUUCAUGCCUUGUAUUUAUUUUCGUAAUAGGUUGAGUAUGUAAGAAGCAGUGUUCAUAAAAGCUGGCAAACCUGUUUUACUUGUUUCUCAAUCUUUUCAGAUCAUUGCUUAUAAAACACUGACAUUUACAGUAAAUAUUUUGUUUUAAAUACAGGCUAACGCUAUCAAACCGUGUGUCCUUACGCUGCACUCAUUUAAUGACCUCGCCCUUUGGAUCUAGUUCCCGGACCAGGGGUCGAACCUGGGCCCCCUCCAUUGGGAGUGCAGACUCUUAACCACUGGGCCACCAGAAAAGAUUUGAAGCUCAGAGAAGCCACAUUUUGCCCAAGAUGAAAGAGCUAGCAAGAACAAGGGCCGCAGCUGUCUAGCUAAUACAGGAGUGACCAGGUCCCCUGCCAGGGAGAACAAGAAGGCCCAUGUGGACUUUGCUGGCUCUAGUGUGCAGAGAGCUUCCAGGCAAGAACAGGCAGGGAGCUCAGGCUGGAACAGCUGGACAAGGACGGAGUCAGCAGCCUGUGCUGCGCGUGCAGCCUCCAGGAAACUGAGAUGCAAGCAACACUAGGCUGGAGGAACGAAGAUCAUGACAAGGUGAGGCUCGGCCUCGGUCUGUCAUGGGAAUCAAUGAAGUGGGGCGCCAGGUGUUUACCAUAACAGUUCUACCAAGAGACCUGAACAGCAACACAAUGCAGAGCGAUUUCCUUGCCCAAAAAUGGUUGUGUGUGUGUGUGUGUGUGUUGUUUUGUUUUGUUUUGCUCUUUUAUCCUGAGGGAACUGCAUUCUUUGCUUGAAUAAUUGGUGGGAUACCAAGUAAGCAGGCUGGGGACUUCCCUGGCGGUCCCGUCCAGUGGUUAAGACUCGGCACUUCCAAUGCAGCGGGUGCGGGUUCGAUCCCUGGUUGGGGAUCUAAGAUUCCACACGCCGCGUGGCGUGACCAAAAAAAUGAAAAAAAUAAUAAUAAAAUAAAUACAUACAAAGUAAGCAGGCAGGAAACUCACUGCUGUUGUAGGCAAUUACUAGCCUAGGAGUUGAGAGAUGGGGGCUCUGGGUGCAGCAGUGUCAGACCCCUCCUGUAUCCACCACCCAUCACCCUCGGUACGUAUGUCCGACCCCAGACCCAUUCUGACUGGAAACUAAAAUGAAUUAAUCAGCCUCAGCCCCUCACUAUCCUGCUCAGAUUUACCCCACCUCCACGCCUGCCGCAGCUGGGCAGCCCCAACUUGCAUGUGCGUAAAGAACCUAGAUGAUGAGCACUAAAAACCACGUGUCAGAAAGGGAGCCAUUCCUUAAGGACUCAUUGCUUUGUAGACACAGUCUUUGACACCUCCCGCGCCCCAGCAUUUUGUAUCUGUUUAACUUUGUUGAUCCCCGAAGACUGAACACACAGAGCCCUGGCUUAAGUCUGAAGAGUUGUCCCUAUUGGGCUUAACAAGCCGCUGCUUUUGACCGGCUUACUAUGAGUGUCAUUGCUUUCAGUGCCCCGUUCCACUGAUCUUCACAGAAUAAUAUUAUGGAAAGAUCAAUAGAACUGUGUUUUUAUUUUAUUUAUUUACUUAUUUAUAUAUUUUUAAAAGGUGGGUUUUUUUAAAAUUAAUUAAUUAAUUUAUUUUUGGCUGCAUUGGGUCUUCGUUGCUGAGCGUGGGUUUUCUCUAGUUGCGGCGAGCGGGGGCUACUCUUCGUUGCGGUCCGCAGGCUUCUCAUUGCGGCGGCUUCUCUUGUUGCAGAGCACGGGCUCUAGGCGUGCAGGCUUCAGUAGUUGUGGCUCGUGGGCUCUAGAGCGCAGGCUCAGUAGUUGUGGUGCAUGGGCUUAGUUGCUCCACGGCAUGUGGGAUCUUCCUGGACCAGGGCUCAAACCCGUGUCCCCUGCAUUGGCAGGCGGAUUCUUAACCACUGUGUCACCAGGGAAGCCCUAGAACUAUGUUUUCAAAUUAAAAAAAAAAGUUGUUCUAACAGCAAAACCUUUUUUUUUUUUUUCCAAGUGAUAUCUUACAGGGAGCCUCAGUAUAGAGGUCAAUGUGGGCAGAACUGCUGAUGUUGGAGGGUUUCAGGGGACCUGGAGGCCAGCCCAGGCCAAUCCAGCUCUAUGGAGCAGUGGAAAAGCCAUCACUCUCAAAUAAUCACUCGAGUCCACUUGCAGCAAAGUUUGUAAAACAAAGGUAUCGACUGUUGAAACUGAACUCUCAUACAGCAGGCAGGACCCCCAUGUCCUGCCCUGAAAUGUUUGUUUGUGAUCCCCAAACCUUCUGAUGUGUGAAUAUGUCUGCCUUUGCACAUGGAUAGUGGUCAUGAGCGUCAGUGUAUAAUUCAUGAAAAUGGACCCAGUGCUGGAAAGAACAUACCAGCAAGGCCACCUGCAGUAGGUGGCCGGGGUGUGAUCAUUUUAAAUUCUCAACCCGCAUCCGUUCUUCUCUCCCUACGUACCACGUUCCCAUUCUAAUAACUGGGGUUCUGUGGCCAUGGUCUUCACUCUCACCCUCAUGGCGCUGUUAAUGAAUGUCAGUUCUAACAUCUGGGGUCAGCUGAGCCCUGGUCCCUGCUUCUCAGUCUGCUUCUCAGCUGCCUGAGUCUCUCGGUUUCCGACUAAGCCUGGAGGCCGGGCCUUAUCUGUCUCUGCCCACCUCCUUGGACCCGAUGCCUUGCCUCCUGAGCUGGCUGUAAAGUGCAUGAAUCAGGGAUGGGCUUGCAGUCGGCACUCGGUAUCAUCUGACAUUUCUGUUGUCGCUACUUUUACUUUUUAAAAACUCUGACUCCUAUCUCGUGCAACCCCGGAACCAGUGAAAAUCAUGUUUCACCCUCUUGGGAUCAUGAGGUCAGCUUUACUUUACCAGUAAUGGCAUGACAUGUCAUGGUUGUAUGCACUUAAUCUCUAUCACAGCCCUCAUGAGGGAUUUAUUGAUCUUAUUUUAUAGCCAACGAACAAACAAAACCCCACGCCCUCAGGUUGCUCUGCUCCCUCAGUGUUUCAUUUGCAGAUUAGGUAUGAGAGGAAAUCCCUUAAUAAGUAAAAAGGUAAUAAAAUAUGAAAACACACACAAAAUACAUACGAAAAGGCCAAUUAGAACUGCUAUUAUAAUGGUUACACUAGAUAGUCCAGCAUUGUCAAAGAUCACGUUUUAUUUUGAAUUUUAGUAAGCAAAGUGGUUUUUGAAGUACGUAUUUAUUUGAUUGGACUUAGGAUCAGCUACGCCCACUGUCCAACUUCAGUGCUGAUCUCAGCGCUGCUCCUCCUGUACUUAUGUUCUUGGGAAAAAGCAUCCACGGCUCUUGGGAGGUUUUGUUUGCCUUUUCCUCCAAUGAAAAGGGCCUCAGAAAAAAGGGUCUCAUUUAACGCUCUGAUAAAAGCUUGGGAGCCUUUCCCUGGGAAAAAUGCCCAUGCUAACACAAUCUUGUACAUAAUUUCAGGAUGUUGAUACAUUCCCCCAAAGCCAUGGACCCAGAUAAAAACUCCUGUUUUCCAGUCCGGACAUUGGAAGAUGACGAUGAAGUUGAUAUAUGGAGAAGCACAAAUUGGACAGCUGACCCUAAUAAAUCAUAGAGGAGGAACAGGUGACAAGCACACACUCGUACCCACGUGACUCGACUUCUCCCAGCUCGCUCCAGCACAAGGACAAGCGGCAGGUGUGGCUCACCGCCCCUGUGGCAAGCCGCUGACACGGUGAGAAGGACAGAGCAGAGGCAGGACCGGGCUGUGCUGAUCUGAUAAGGGGAUUAAGUUUCGGCUUCCCUCCCACCAUCCCUAAUGCCCUCGGACUAAGCAGCUGCCCCAGCUCAGCUCUUCCUCGGAUGCAAAACGUCUCUCUGCCCAGGCAGUCGCUGCAUGCUGGCCCACAGAGGCACCAGCCUUUCCUGAAACACAUGGUGAUGUUCUUUACACCUUUGCCCAGGCAUGCCCUCUGUGGGCGAUGCCCCGCCCCUCCGGUCAAGUACCCACUUGCUCUUCGAGACUGGCUCAGGUUUCACCUCUGAGCUGUUGCCCUAGUUCUGGGGUUGGGUUUAGCUGCUCCCUCCUGCGCUCUGCUUGCCCCACACCCACCCCUCUCCUUCCUGUGCUUACUACGCGGUAAGUGUGGGCCUCCUACAGCAGUUAUUUUUUCACAUGAUUGUCUUCUCCAUCAAGAGGAUGAGCUUCCUGAGGACAAAGACCAGCUUCUUCCAAGCGUCUGGCGCCUAACAGUUACUUUAUAAACAUUUCUGGUCGGACUUCCCUGGCGGUCCAGCGGUUGGGACUCUGAGUUUCCACUGCUGGGGCCUGGGUUCGAUCCCUGGUCGGGGAGAUAAGAUCCUGCAAACCCGGCAGCGUGGCCAAAAAAGAAAAAGAAAAGUUUUGGGGAUGCUAUGACUGAGUGAUAUAUAUAUGGUCAACCUAUGAAAAGAAAGCAGUAUGAUACAGGACACGUGUAGGAGACAGACACACUGGAGAGGCAGCAAGUUCAUGAAAACUUCUUUCCUAAAAGUAAAGACAAGUCACAAGGGUAUAUAAGAGCAGCCUGAAGCGGAGGGAGCAGUGUGAUACGUGAGCAGCUCAAAGGGGACACAGACGGUGCACCUGGCAGGCCAGAGGCUCUGAACCUGGAGCCUGGACCCCAAGAGCCGCUUACAGCAGAGUCCCCGAAGGGCCUCCUGGAGCAGGAAGGUGCUGUGGGACUCCAUCUGCCUUCCCCACGCUCUGUAACAAGAGCAAGCGCUUGGUUUUGUUUUGUUUUAUUUGGCUGCACCGUGGCUUGUGGGAUCUUAGUUCCCUGACCAGGGAAUCGAACCCGGACCCCCUGCAGUAAAAGUACCAUGUCGUAACCACUGGACCGCCAGGGACUUCCCAAGAGCGAGCACACUGGAAGUUCGUUUUCGUGCAGAGGUCUCAUUUUCCUAGUGCAUCUCACAGACCUAAUGUUUAUCAGGCCUACAUGCUUUCAUUUUCUUUUAAUAAAAUCUCUGGGCCUUAACCCUGAAUUGAGAGGGUCUGGGAGGAGCGGUGUGGCAGGAGGACGAAGCUGGUGCAGGAAACGAGGCAGUCCUGCACAGACGGGAAGGGAGUUUCCAUCAGCAGGAAACAGCCCUCAAAACCAGUCACAUCAGAAAUGGGUGACACCAUGAUGAACUGUUAGUGACAAGACAUAAAUGGAAAUUGAGGGGUCUGACAGAGGGAACUUAAGAGAGACAAGAGACGUAACACCCCCUCCCCCCUGAGCAAUCACCUUCAGCGGCCACUGCCAUUUGGAGCCUCAAAACCCUAGGCAUCGGGUUAGCCCAGUGUUUGCACGUAUGUUUAGCCACAGACCACUUUUUUGGAGUACAUCCUAUACAGUAAGUCCAACAGGUCCAGCAGAUGAAGGAGAAGCAGCAGUGAGGGGGCCAGAGCCCGCACACUUCCCCCUCUCCUCCCCGAACCCAGUACCCCUGGAGGCAGGAAGGUCUCUGAGGAAGCCAGUUUGAAACCUAGUGCACUAAAUUACUGGUCUUAGUCUUGGCAUCCCAAACUCCAAUGACCCCAAAGUCCAGAUGGACAACAUAAAAGAGUGACACUGGCUUGUUUUGGCUUUGACAAAAUUGGGGUGUCCUAAUAGAGGGAACCCCAGAGGAAAAGCUGUGCUUCCUCCACGGGAUUGAUUGUUGCUAGACUCUGGCAGACCGAGGAAUGCAGCCGGCUCUGUGUUCACAGACCAGAUUUUUCCAUUGAAGCCAGAAAUCCAGAUUUUCCCAUGAACUCACCUGACUUUAAAAAAAAAAAUUAAUAGACUAUUUUUUAGAGAAGCUUUAGGUUACAGAAAAAAUGCAUGGAAAGUACAGGGAGUUCCCAUAUACUCCCUCCCCCAGACCCAUUCCAGUUUCUCCUAUUAUUAGCAUCUUGCCUUAGUGUGGUACAUCGGUUACAAUUGAUGAACCAAUAUUGAUACAUCAUUACUAACUAAAGGCCAUAGUUUACAUUCAUUCUUUGCGUUGUACAUUCUAUGGAUUUGACAAAUGUAUAAUGGCAUGUAUCUGCCAACACAGUAUCAACCAGAGUCAUUUCGUUGCCCUAAAACUUUUCUGUGCUCCACCUAUUCAUCCCUCUUCACUUACCCUCCCAGCAACCCCUGGCCACCACUGAUCUUUUCACUGUCUCUGUUCUUUUCCAGAAUGUUCAUAUCUUUGGAACUGUACAGUAUGUAGCCUGUUCAGACAGGCCUCUUUCACUUUGGAAAUAUGCAUUUAAGUUUCCUCCACGUAACUCCCGAUUUUUAACUACUGAAAAUAAAUUGAAAUAGUCACAAAAUACUGAAAGGUAGACCUUCAUCCUACACCUCUCUUGGUUGGAUGAGGAGGUACGUUUCUCUCGCUUUUUACAACGGGUAUUGGAGGUGGGGGAUGGGGGAGAGGGAGAGGGUCAUCUCAGAAAUGGAGGCAAAUGUGAGGGAGAAAUGGUUCCUGAAGGAAGCAUGGCUUCCAGUUUCCAGUUUUGCUUCUGCUUUCUGGUUCAAGCUCGCUCAGCUUGGGAUGAGCCCCUCCACCUUCAGUGUGCCUGCCUCACCCAGAAUCCCACCUGGUUCUCACUCCAUCCUCUUUCUCCCCCACUCCCACCCACCCCACUUGAUUCAGAGAGAGAGAGCACAGUGAAAAUGCCCGUGGAGGCCCUAUGUUCUCCCUCCCGGCUGUGUCCGUGGCCAGGGUUUACCCAGAAGCAUCCGGCAGAGCCAUCCCCCAAUAAGAUUUAGCAGCCCUGGCUGCCGGCAGCCAAAGCCAGUGAUACCUGGAUAAUAUUUUUUAACAUGAGGUUCACAGCUUGUUUUUAUGCUCAUGCAACAUUCAUAUAAGAAGAACCAUGUUUGUUUGCAUUUAAAACUUGUGGAGCAGCUUAAGAACAUGGGUCUGGAAUCAGACAGUCCUGGGCUCAGAUGACAUUUCUGCUGCCGCUAACUAGCUAAAUCCAUACCCACUCUGGGCCUCAGUUUUCUCAUCUGCAAAAAUGAGCACAAUAAUGCCUUCUCUGAGAGCUAUUAAGAAGAUUGAAUGCUGCAUGUGGCUUACACACAGAAAUGUUCACUGAGCGUCAGUUCCUUGUCUGCUCCUUACGGGGAGCUAGAGACCUGGGUCUUAGUUCCAGCUUUGUUAUCAUCCAACUUUGUGUCUAGGAAUUAGUCACAAAUCGGAGACCACAAGCCAGCAGCUGCCCUGCUCCUAUUUAUUUUUUAACUUUUUAAAAAUUGAAAACGCUUUUUAAAAAUUGAAGUAUAGUUGCUGUACAAUAUUAUAUGUUAUAGGUGUACAGUAUAGUGAUUCACAAUUUUUAAAGGUUAUCCUCCAUUUAUAAUUAUUGUAAAAUAUUGGCUAUAUCCCCCAUGUUGUACAAUAUAUCCUUGUAGCGUAUUUUAUGCCUAACAUCAAUAGUUUGUACCUCUUACUCCCCUACCCCUAUAUUGCCCCUGCCCCCUUCCCUCUCCCCAUUGGUAACCACUAGUUCUCUAUAUCUGGGAGUCAGCUUCUUUUUUGUUAUAUUCACUAGUUUGCUGUAUUUUUUAGAUUCCACAUGUAAGUGACGUCACACAGUACUUGUCUUUCUCUGACUUAUUUCACUUAGCACAAUGCCCAAGUCCAUCUAUGUUGCUGCAAAUGGCAAAAUUUCAUUCUUUUUUAUGGCUGAGUAGUAUUCUGUUGUGUGUAUGUAUGUAUGUGUAUGUGUAUAUAUAUAUAUAUAUAUAUAUAUAUAAAAAAUAUAUCUCACAUCUUUUUUUUUUUUAGCGGUACGCGGGCCUCUCACUGUUGUGGCCUCUCCCGUUGCGGAGCACAGGCUCCGGAUGCGCAGGCCCAGCGGCCAUGGCUCACGGGCCCAGCCGCUCCGCGGCAUGUGGGAUCUUCCCGGACUGGGGCACGAACCCGUGUCCCCUGCAUCGGCAGGCGGACUCUCAACCACUGCGCCACCAGGGAAGCCCUCACAUCUUUUUAAACUUUUUAUUUUCUAUUGGAGUAUAGUUGGUUAACAAUGUUUUGUUAAUUUCAGGUGUGCAGCAAAGUGAUUCAGUUAUACAUAUACAUGUAUCUAUUCUUUUUCAAAUUCUUUUCCCAUUUAGGUUGUUACAUAAUACUGAGCAGAGUUCCCUGUGCUAUACAGUAGGUCCUGGUUGGUUAUCCAUUUUAAAUACAGCAGUGUGCACAUGUCAAUCCCACACUCCCAAUCUAUCCCUCCCCCCCACCCUUCCCCCCACCCCUGUAACUAUAAGUUCAUUCUUUAAGUCUAUGAGUCUGUUUCCGUUUUGUAAAUAUAUUCAUUUGUAUCAAUUUUUUUUUUAGAUUCUGCAUAUAAGUGAUAUUUGUCUUUCUCUGUCUGACUGACUUAACUCCAUAUGACGAUCUCUAGCUCUACCCAUGUUGCUGAAACUGGCAUUAUUUCAUUCUUUUUAAUGGCUGAGUAAUAUUCCAUUGUAUAUAUACACCACAUCUUCUUUAUUCAUUCAUCUGUUUUUCUUUUUUUAACUACAUGCAUCCAUUUAUUUAUUUAUUUUUAUUUUUAAAUUUAUUUUUGGCUGCAUUGGGUCUUCGUUGCUGCUUGCAGGCUUUCUCUAGUUGUGGCGAGCGGGGGCUACUCUUCAUUGUGGUGCAUGGGCUUCUCAUUGAGGUGGCUUCUCUUGUUGCAGAGCACGGGCUCUAGGCACUUGGGCUUCAGUAGUUGUGGCGCGCAGGCUUAGCUGCUCCGCGGCAUGUGGGAUCUUCCCAGACCAGGCAUUGAACCCAUGUCCCCUGCAUUGGCAGGUGGAUUCUUAUCCACUGUGCCACCAGGGAAGUACCCAUUCAUCUGUUGAUGGACACUUAGGUUGCUUCCAUAUCUUGGCAAUUGUAAAUAAUGCUUCUAUGAACAUUAGGGUGCAUGUGUCUUUUUUUUUUUAACAUGUAUCUUUUCUAAUUCGUGGAAAACCUUUUUUUAAUGGAACAUCUUUUUAUAUACA